rnacentral:lncRNA from 7 species
ACACAUCCAUAGAUGUAGGACUUUGCUGCUUUUCCUCUGUCGGGGUCACGGAGCGUGUUCUAUACAAAGAUUAAAACCUAAAGGAAAAAAAAAAAAAAGACAUAAAAAAGGGCUUCACUUAAAAUAAACAGAAAGAAGAUGAAACAGAGAAAAAGCCGUCUUUGAGAAAUGCUGCUCUCGCAUGCAGGAGCUGAAAAACCCAUUUUAUCUCCAUGGCCACAUUCGGCGUCACUUUACUUUCACACAAUAUGUUUCUUCUCUACCACGCAUUCAAAAAAACCCCCGGUUCCUUGGAUUCCUCUGAAACGUUUCCUUGCAUCAUAAAGGAGCUCAGACCCACCGCGGGUGUGUUUACACUCCCGGAUCAGAACAAGUAAAUAAAGGAAAGGGGUUUGGUAGUGAGGCUUGAGUAGCUUCAGGUAGCUCCGGCAGGUGGAAGCCAUGGGGAAAACACCAUCAUCUGCUGCCCUGCUCAGUGCUGGGGCACAGGGGUGCUGGUUCUUGCAGCGUUUAGGUGCCCAGUACAGCAGGUGCCCUCUCAACCAGCACCAGGAGCACCGGCUUGCUCAGCACAAGGAAUGCGAUCUGGACCAGGUUCAAGUGUGCCAUCACCUUUCUGGUGUUAUCCCGAAGUCGGAUGGAAAAAAAGCCUGGAAGAAGCGAGAUGGAGCCGAAGCGGCAGCUGGAAAGUAUGGAAGAGAUGUUUCUGCUUUCCUGGGGCGCCUUUACCCUGAGCUGCAGUCAGAAACAUGCUUUGGGGAAAAAAUGCUGAACUCUUGACUGCUGUUAAUAGCCAUGGGCAGGAUAAUGGCUGUGAGAAGGGUGUGCUUCCUGCUGGGACAGGGACAGAAUGAAGCGCAGUUCACUGGAACUGCGGUCACUGACACGGGCUCAGAAGUUCCUUAUCUCUCCCGGCUGUAAUGGGGCUGGGGGAGAGGUGAGACACAUAGGGCAGAGAGGUUGUGAGAAACUGAGCAAGACCCCAAAGGAUAGCGUGAAAAGAAAGAGCCAAGUAAAUGCAAUCCUCGGUUCCAAUCAGGAAAGUUAGGAAAUGAGAUCUGAAACACCCUCCUGGGAGUCUGGUGUGUGCUGAAGAAGCACGCUGAAAGAAAUUCUCAUGCAAGCCGUGUCACUGUGAUUGUCAAAGAAACUGAGCCCUCACUCCUUUCUUUUGUGGCAAUUUUCUUUCAGACAGCUCCUGUCUUUUUUUUUUUUUUUCCUUUCCCCCCAUAAUAGAAAUGGAUAUCCUCACAU